CUUCACCGAACCCAGCCGCAGUGGCCGGUCCGCCGGUCGGUCCUGCCCGUACGUGGCCAGCAGCGCCUGGGCCUC
rfam:Streptomyces longwoodensis strain DSM 41677 genomic scaffold PRJNA299227_s004, whole genome shotgun sequence.